UAGCUGCCGAGUCAUCCCUGGAC
rnacentral:misc_RNA from 1 species